AUUGAACGCUGGCGGCAGGCCUAACACAUGCAAGUCGAGCGAGCGGCGGACGGGUGAGUAAUGUAUGGGGACUGCCCGAUAGAGGGGGAUAACUACUGGAAACGGUGGCUAAUACCGCAUACUAUCGGAUAACCCAUAUGGGAUUAGCUAGUAGGGGGGGUAAAGGCUCACCUAGGCGACGAUCUCUAGCUGGUCCGAGAGGAUGAUGAGCCACACUGGACCUGGACACCGGCCCAGACUCUUACGGAGGCAGAAGUGGGGAAUAUUGCACAAUGGGGGCAAGCCUGCUGCAGCAAUGCCGGGUGUAUGAAGAGGGCCUUAGGGUUGUAAGGUACUUUCAGCGGGGCGGCGUUACCCGCAGAGGAAGCACCGGCUAACUCCGUGCCAGCAGCCGCGGUAAUAC
rnacentral:rRNA from 1 species